GACGAACGCUGGCGGCGUGCUUAACACAUGCAAGUCGAACGGAAAGGCCCUGCUGUUGUGGGGUGCUCGAGUGGCGAACGGGUGAGUAACACGUGAGUAACCUGCCCUUGACUUUGGGAUAACUUCAGGAAACUGGGGCUAAUACCGGAUAGGAGCUCCUGCUGCAUGGUGGGGGUUGGAAAGUUUCGGCGGUUGGGGAUGGACGCGCGGCUUAUCAGCUUGUGGGUGGGGUAGUGGCUUACCAAGGCUUUGACGGGUAGCCGGCCUGAGAGGGUGACCGGCCACAUUGGGACUGAGAUACGGCCCAGACUCCUCCGGGAGGAAGCAGUGGGGAAUAUUGCACAAUAGGCGGAGGCCUGAUGAAGCAACGCCGCGUGCGGGAUGACGGCCUUCGGGUUGUAACCCGCUUUCGCCUGUGACGAAGCGUGAGUGACGGUAAUGGGUAAAGAAGCACCGGCUAACUACGUG
rnacentral:rRNA from 1 species